GCUUCCUUAGCUCAGUCGGCAGAGCGCAUCCAUGGUAAGGAUGAGGUCAGCGGUUCGAGCCCGCUAGGAAGCU
rnacentral:tRNA from 1 species